GGCGAGUUAGCCAAGUGGUAAGGCAGAGGUCUGCAAAACCUCCAUCGCGGGUUCGAAUCCCGCACUCGCCUCCA
rnacentral:tRNA from 2 species